rnacentral:rRNA from 1 species
CUACCGUGCCCUGCGGAAUAGCUCCGGGAAACUGGAAUUAAUACCGCAUACGCCCUACGGGGGAAAGAUUUAUCGGGGUAUGAUGAGCCCGCGUUGGAUUAGCUAGUUGGUGGGGUAAAGGCCUACCAAGGCGACGAUCCAUAGCUGGUCUGAGAGGAUGAUCAGCCACAUUGGGACUGAGACACGGCCCAAACUCCUACGGGAGGCAGCAGUGGGGAAUAUUGGACAAUGGGCGCAAGCCUGAUCCGGCCAUGCCGCGUGAGUGAUGAAGGCCUUAGGGUUGUAAAGCUCUUUCACCGGUGAAGAUAAUGACGGUAACCGGAGAAGAAGCCCCGGCUAACUUCGUGCCAGCAGCCGCGGUAAUACGAAGGGGGCUAGCGUUGUUCGGAAUUACUGGGCGUAAAGCGCACGUAGGCGGAUAUUUAAGUCAGGGGUGAAAUCCCAGAGCUCAACUCUGGAACUGCCUUUGAUACUGGGUAUCUUGAGUAUGGAAGAGGUAAGUGGAAUUGCGAGU